rnacentral:snoRNA from 1 species
UUGAAUCCGCAAUUUGGUUCUUGGGAGGCUCCAAAAUGCCUCUCCAAGUCAGAAUCUGCGGUAGAGUG